rnacentral:rRNA from 1 species
GGUUCGAGUAUGAAUGAAGUUUUAAUAAUUUUUUUUAUUAAUUUUAUAAUGAAUUUUUUUUUUAAAUAAAAAAUUUUGUUUUUAUUUUUGCAAAGAUAAGUCUUCGUAAAUUCUUUUUAAUUUUUUUUAAAAAAAAAAAUUAAAGUUUUCUAGGGUAGAAUUUUUUGUAUGUAUAUUUUUCUAUUAUUAGUUUAGAGAAUUACUUCGGAGUUAACAGAAAUUCAUAUUUUAUCUAGUUCUUAUAGUAAAGUAAGUUUUACAUCGGUGUUGUAUUUAUAUUGUUUGGGAGGUAGAAUGUUCAAUAUUUAAGACUGUUCUUCUUUUUAGUAUAACGUGAUAUUAGUUUAAUUCAUCGUGAGAUAGAAUUGUUUAUCUUGAAAAAUAAUUUUUUUUUUAGGUUUUUAGUACGAAAGGAAAAAUAGUUGAAGUUAAAAACUUUAUGAUGUACGG